ensembl:lncRNA MIR99AHG mir-99a-let-7c cluster host gene
ACAGAAGCGCUCUGAGUCAGCAUCAGAUGCUUUGCCUCGCCUCUCGCUGUGUAUCUGUAUGCCUGUGUGCGCGCGCGUGCUCGCUCGGGCAUCCGUGUCUAGCCGAGGGGAGGGGGUGGCGUGUGAGUGCGUGGAGGGUAAAAGCCAGUCAGUCAGUGAGAAGCAAAGAUCAACCACCUCAGAAGAGCCAGAUUCCACUUCUGUGGCCAGGACUUUUACAUUAUGGCUGGUCCGAUUGUUUUACCCUGCGUUCUAUGCUACUAAACCUUGGAUCAUUCCUAAAGUACAAAUUCUGUUCUCGAACCACAAACAAGGCUAAAAGAUCGGAGGAAAUUCAGUGAAUAUACAGGAUUGGGGUUGUGUAUUUUUAAAAGUAUUGAGCUUUAUAAUGUAAUUAUUCAAGAAAUAGAAUCAUGGUUUUUUUAUGAUGUUGCCAGCAUUUUAAAUUACAUGUUUAUUAAGUGGCAUUGCUCAAAUAACUACAGAGUAUGCGUGGAAAUAUUUGCUGUCUGAAUAGUUUGGAGAUUCAAAGAGAAAAAUCAAGCUUCAGAGGUAUUAAAUUAUGACAUGCAGAAAAGUUUUUGUUUUGUUCUUAACUGCAACGGUAUAUAUUUAAAUCCGAUUUAAAGUAUUAUAUGUCCUGGGCCCACCUUACCAGUUGUGCUGUAUAGCAGUGUAAUGGGAAGCAAAAUUUCAAUUAGGGUCCCAUUAACUGGCAUAUAAUCCUUCUUUAAUGUAAUAGAGGCUAUGGUGUUGCUGUACAAAUCUGCUAGAAGCAGAUUUUAACCCAUGUUUAGUCUCUUUCUUUGGAUCUAAUGGAAUGACUCUUAACUGUUCAUUGUCUGCAUUGUUUCUCAUAUUCUUCAUUAUUUUAAGGUCUGGAAUUAGUCUAUAAAUGGUCGUCGUGAUUACUCAGCUCAUCCUAACUUUUAUAUAUCAUAUAUAUUUCUACUGAAGUAUUUUAAAUAGUAUUUAGAGGUAAAAGUCUAAGUGAACCCAACUGUAAUUUCUAAGCUAUCCUUAUUUCUGGAAGAAGAAUUCUACCGCAUCAAACCAGACUUUUCCUAGUCCCUGAGACCCUAACUUGUGAGGUAUUUUAGUAACAUCACAAGUCAGGCUCUUGGGACCUAGGCGGAGGGGAACCAGCAGCUUUGGACCUUAUUGAUUGUCUGCAGUUACCACCAGAACAAAAGAACAUACAUAGAUUCUGCCUAGGAGAAAAGAACAAUGCUUUUCUUUAUCAUCAGCAACGUUUUCACCAUGACCCAUCCCCAAAAAUACUAUUGUCAGAAACUGUACUCUAAAGUGAUUACACAGUUGCACUGAAAUAGCGUUUGUAUUAUAACGAUCAUACAAAAGCAAUAUAAGAAACCUGUGUAAGAAGCAAAAUUAAAAUAUAAGUGUUUUAAAAUGCUUCUUUUGGUGCAUUUUAAGGUGGCUAGUAUAAGAGGAUAUCUCUUCAGUUAAUGAAGAGAGGGGAUUAUAUUUAUAACUUUUCAUAUGCAUUGAAAUAUAUACAUUAGCUACUUAAAUAAAUCCUGUAUGCCUCCAUAUAACUAUGGCUCAGACUAUGUCAUAUACAGCUAUAAGCAUGCUUGAGGCCUAGAAAUAACAUGAUUUACAAUCUUCUUUAUUGACCCUAUUAGAUUUUACUACCGAUUUAAGAAGAAUGCUGUUUUAUACUUUGUAUUUAUUGCCAGGGCUUUUCUGAGUCUUCUAUCCAACCAACAUACUUUAUAUGUCUUAACAAUUCUAACAAUUAUUUUGUUACGAGAGUCCAAGAGUGAAAGUUUCACCAAUAAUCUGGGAAAAUAUGUCUUUUUAAAAUUUUUUACAGUUUACUGUGUACAUAUCAUGGGCCUACGUGAGAUAAAACAGUAAACGCCACCUAUGAAGUCAAACUGCUUUGACUAGCAACUGCAUAUGAACUGCAUAGUUUUAGUUUUAUAAGAAUUUUAGCUUUAUCGGAGGUAACUAUUCCAACCAUAAGUAAUAUGUCAUAUUUGAAAGUUUAAUAGCCAUUGCCACAUCAGAUAUGUCUUUCUUGGAGAUAGAAUCAGUAUGCUAAAUCUAUUUAAAAAUUUUACAAUAAUGUUACAAAUAUCAAGAUUCAAAAUGGAGAUGACAGACUUUCCUUAAUAGAAGCAACAAAGUGGCUUCAUUCUUUUAACUAUUGCCUUAGAUGGGUGCCAUAAAUUAUGUGUCUUCUGCAUUGUUAAAAUAAAUUUAUGAAUGUAUUUUAGAAUACUGUACGGAGUCUUUGUUCAUCUUUUUAAAAAUUUCUUAUAAUACCUACUUGAAAUAUUACAGAAUACAAAUCAUCUAUUAGUCAUAGUUAUUAAAAAUUACUAUAACAAUAUCAUAAACAUACACAUCUAUAUAAAGCAUGCAGAAUAUGUUUAAGCAUGUAUGCACACUGUACCUAUUCAGAUUCUUUAUUUAUAUCAUCUACUUCAUUUAUCUAGAAGUUCUGAAAUUUUAGGUGUGUGUAUGUAUAUGUAUAAAUAUAAGUUUUAAAGCUCCAAAUGAAAGGAGGUAAUAUAAACAGUAAAGAGCUUUGGUAGUAUUUAUCUUUUAUUUCUUUUGACCUCAUUCUCAUUGGAAUUGAGUAUUUUUUAAAACCAUAAGUUUCUUAAUACAAAGAAAUCUAUGUAUGUGUGUCUACAUGUACACAGAAGCUUGAUUACAUUUAAUAGCAAUGUUCACACAAUGGAUCUGAAAGUACUUCUUGUAAAAAAGAAUAUCACAUACAAGUAUGUGUUUACUAACAUCUGUUUUAACAUGAUCAUAAAUAAUAUCUGUGAAAGGUUCCAUCAAGUUAGUUCCAAAACAAUGUAAGGGGUAGAUGUUUAUUGGCUAUAGUGAUAUCAGAUAUAGGUUAUUCAAACGUGAAAAUUUUUUAAUGUUAUCAUAUUCAUGAACCACACUAUAUAUUAACUUCUGUCUCAUAAAAGAAAUAUACCAAAACUGAAUUGA